GCCCGGUUAGCUCAAUCGGUAGAGCGUGAGACUGUGAGUUACCGCCUCCUCAAUUGGGAUUUCCAUUCAUCAACUAACAUCAUUACCAGUUUACGUUCUAAAGCAUACGAUUAUCUCAAGGCUGCGAGUUCGAGCCUCGCAUCGGGCG